rnacentral:rRNA from 1 species
UAGAGUUUGAUCCUGGCUCAGAACGAACGCUGGCGGCAGGCCUAACACAUGCAAGUCGAGCGCACCUUCGGGUGAGCGGCGGACGGGUUAGUAACGCGUGGGAACAUACCCUUUUCUACGGAAUAGCCUCGGGAAACUGAGAGUAAUACCGUAUAAGCCCUUCGGGGGAAAGAUUUAUCGGGAAAGGAUUGGCCCGCGUUAGAUUAGAUAGUUGGUGGGGUAAUGGCCUACCAAGUCUACGAUCUAUAGCUGGUUUUAGAGGAUGAUCAGCAACACUGGGACUGAGACACGGCCCAGACUCCCACGGGAGGCAGCAGUGGGGAAUCUUAGACAAUGGGCGCAAGCCUGAUCUAGCCAUGCCGCGUGUGUGAUGAAGGUCUUAGGAUCGUAAAGCACUUUCGCCAGGGAUGAUAAUGACAGUACCUGGUAAAGAAACCCCGGCUAACUCCGUGCCAGCAGCCGCGGUAAUACGGAGGGGGUUAGCGUUGUUCGGAAUUACUGGGCGUAAAGCGUACGUAGGCGGAUUGGAAAGUUGGGGGUGAAAUCCCAGGGCUCAACCCUGGAACUGCCUCCAAAACUAUCAGUCUAGAGUUCGAGAGAGGUGAGUGGAAUUCCAAGUGUAGAGGUGAAAUUCGUAGAUAUUUGGAGGAACACCAGUGGCGAAGGCGGCUCACUGGCUCGAUACUGACGCUGAGGUACGAAAGUGUGGGGAGCAAACAGGAUUAGAUACCCUGGUAGUCCACACCGUAAACGAUGAAUGCCAGUCGUCGGGCAGUAUACUGUUCGGUGACACACCUAACGGAUUAAGCAUUCCGCCUGGGGAGUACGGUCGCAAGAUUAAAACUCAAAGGAAUUGACGGGGGCCCGCACAAGCGGUGGAGCAUGUGGUUUAAUUCGAAGCAACGCGCAGAACCUUACCAACCCUUGACAUCCUGUGCUAACCCGAGAGAUCGGGCGUUCACUUCGGUGACGCAGUGACAGGUGCUGCAUGGCUGUCGCCAGCUCGUGUCGUGAGAUGUUCGGUUAAGUCCGGCAACGAGCGCAACCCACAUCCUUAGUUGCCAUCAGUUCGGCUGGGCACUCUAAGGAAACUGCCCGUGAUAAGCGGGAGGAAGGUGUGGAUGACGUCAAGUCCUCAUGGCCCUUACGGGUUGGGCUACACACGUGCUACAAUGGCAGUGACAAUGGGUUAAUCCCAAAAAGCUGUCUCAGUUCGGAUUGGGGUCUGCAACUCGACCCCAUGAAGUCGGAAUCGCUAGUAAUCGCGUAACAGCAUGACGCGGUGAAUACGUUCCCGGGCCUUGUACACACCGCCCGUCACACCAUGGGAGUUGGUUCUACCCGACGACGCUGCGCUAACCUUCGGGGGGCAGGCGGCCACGGUAGGAUCAGCGACUGGGGUGAAGUCGUAACAAGGUAACCA